rnacentral:rRNA from 1 species
UACAGAGGGUGCGAGCGUUAAUCGGAAUUACUGGGCGUAAAGCGCGCGUAGGCGGCUUUGCAAGUCGGGUGUGAAAUCCCCAGGCUUAACCUGGGAACUGCAUUCGAGACUGCAUUGCUAGAGUAUGGGAGAGGGAAGUGGAAUUUCCGGUGUAGCGGUGAAAUGCGUAGAUAUCGGAAGGAACACCAAUUGCGAAGGCAGCUCGCUGGAACGUAACUGACGCUGAGACGCGAAAGCGUGGGGAGCAAACAGG